AUUGAACGCUGGCGGCAGGCCUAACACAUGCACGUCGAGCGGAGCGGCGGACGGGUGCGUAAUGCCUAGGAAUCUGCCUGGUAGUGGGGGAUAACGUCCGGAAACGGGCGCUAAUACCGCAUACUAUCAGAUGAGCCUAGGUCGGCUUAGCUAGUUGGUGGGGUAAAGGCCUACCAAGGCGACGAUCCGUAACGGGUCUGAGAGGAUGAUCAGUCACACUGGAACUGGGACACGGUCAAGACUCCUACGGGAGGCAGCAGGGGGGAAUAUUGGACAAUGGGAGAAAGCCUGAUCCAGCCAUGCCGAGUGUGUGAAGAAGGUCUUCGGGGUGUAAAGCACUUUAAGUUGGUAGGCGUUACCAACAGAAUAAGCACCGGCUAACUUCGUGCCAGCAGCCGCGGUAAUAC
rnacentral:rRNA from 1 species